rfam:Pythium ultimum DAOM BR144 ctg_1117875581224, whole genome shotgun sequence.
UCCCAGAUAGUCUAGGUGGUUAGGAUGGCUGGCUCUCACCCAGCAGACCCGGGUUCGAGUCCCGGUUUGGGAA